rnacentral:lncRNA from 1 species
UUCAGAAACAAAUGUUUUGGAAGCAGUUUUAAAGAAAAGCAGUCUGUUCUUGUAAAUACAUUCUAUUUUACUUACACAAAACUUUUCCUUUUUUCUCUUUAAGUCACCAGAAAAUAAAUGUACUGAGUUUCUAUUCUUGGCUCAGAUUCAACUAGAAUAGCGAAGAAUUACAAGAUAUAUAAAUGAAAAAUCCUGUUCAUUUAGUAAACAUUUCAUACUAUAUUUAUACAGUGAAAUUCAUUGAUAGUACUUUUUUUUUUUACUUAUAAGUUUUUAUUGGUUCUAAUUAAGCCUGAGAAUAAAGUCUUGUGAAACUGUCCUCUCCAUUACUGUCUAUUCUAAUCUAUUCUCGACAGGCACCACAAUAAAGCUUUCACCCCUGUUUUGGUCUGUUAUAUCCAAGCCACAUGUGCAGUCAAGGAAAAGGUAUGUGAAGGAAAGCUAAGAUAAUUCAGUGGAUUCUUCACUGGGAAAAAGGCCAGAUUCCAGUUUAUAAACGGAGGCUUGCUGUUGCCAGGCUGGAAUGCAAUGAC